rnacentral:rRNA from 1 species
GACGAACGCUGGCGGCGUGCUUAACACAUGCAAGUCGAACGGUGAAGCGCCUUCCUUUUUGGUGGGUGUGGAUGAGUGGCGAACGGGUGAGUAACACGUGAGUAACCUGCCCCCUUCUUCUGGAUAACCGCAUGAAAGUGUGGCUAAUACGGGAUAUUCUGGGUCUGUCGCAUGAUGGGUCUGGGAAAGAUAUUGUUUCGGUGGGGGAUGGGCUCGCGGCCUAUCAGCUUGUUGGUGGGGUGAUGGCCUACCAAGGCGGUGACGGGUAGCCGGCCUGAGAGGGUGGACGGUCACACGGGGACGGAGACACGGCCCAGACUCCUACGGGAGGCAGCGGUGGGAAUAUUGCACAAUGGGCGCAAGCCUGAUGCAGCGACGCCGCGUGAGGGAUGGAGGCCUUCGGGUUGCGAACCUCUUUCGCCAGUGAAGCAGGCCUGCCUCGUUUGUGGGUGGGUUGACGGUAGCUGGAUAAGAAGCGCCGGCUAACUACGUG